AAGGUGUAACCCAGUGGUGUUGUCUAAUGCAGCUAGGUGUAUGGCCAACACAAGGCUCACCAUUUCACUUGAGAAACACGUUCAGAAAAAGAGGAAGAGGAGGAAGUGGUGUUGAGUUUGUCUUAACUCCAGAUCAAGCUCUGAUGGCAAGGGUUUAACCAAGCUUGAAAAUGGCAACCUGACCCCUGGAAUCCCCUUCAGCAGGCAGUGACACAGGAGAAAGCAAGGACGUGAAGGUGCAGCCCCAGUAGCAGUGCACAAGGAAGUAAUGGGACUGUGGUGGUAGUGGAAGAUACUCCCACAGCUGAGAAUAUGCUGCUUUCAGGUACCACCCUGCUUUUCUGUGUUUCUACCAUUGGGCUGGAGAGAGA
rnacentral:lncRNA from 1 species